ACCGCGUCGCCCCCCACCCCAAACCAAGGGGACAGGGGGCGGAUUAUGGCCCCCCGUGCGCUCCCCGCUCGCGGUCGGCCUAAACACAGACCCCGUGGCCGCGAAACGCCGCGACGAUUGGUGGUUUACUUGUGGCCUCGUGCCCCAAGCAUCGCGUCGCGGCCUUGGCGUCCCACGGGCGCUCAGAGGACCCCCAGGAGGACCCCCGUCGCCCCGAGUGCCGGGGAGGAUCUCCCAACCGUU
rnacentral:misc_RNA from 1 species